UGGGGAAUCUUGGACAAUGGGCGCAAGCCUGAUCCAGCCAUGCCGCGUGAGUGAUGAAGGCCCUAGGAUUGUAAAAUUCUUUCACCGGGGACGAUAAUGACGGUACCCGGAGAAGAAGCCCCGGCUAACUUCGUGCCAGCAGCCGCGGUAAUA
rnacentral:rRNA from 1 species